rnacentral:rRNA from 1 species
GAGUUUGAUUCUGGCUCAGAGUGAACGCUGGCGGCGUGCCUAAUACAUGCAAGUCGAACGGAGAUUAAAGUAAGCUUGCUUAUUUUAAUCUUAGUGGCGCACGGGUGAGUAAUGUAUAGCUAAUCUGCCCUACACUAGAGGACAACAGUUGGAAACGACUGCUAAUACUCUAUACUCCUUCUUUACAUAAGUUAAGUCGGGAAAGUUUUUCGGUGUAGGAUGAGGCUAUAUCGUAUCAGCUAGUUGGUGAGGUAAUGGCUCACCAAGGCUAUGACGCGUAACUGGUCUGAGAGGAUGAUCAGUCACACUGGAACUGAGACACGGUCCAGACUCCUACGGGAGGCAGCAGUAGGGAAUAUUGCUCAAUGGGGGAAACCCUGAAGCAGCAACGCCGCGUGGAGGAUGACACUUUUCGGAGCGUAAACUCCUUUUCUUGGGAAAGAAUUAUGACGG